ACCCCAGAACCAAAUUAAUUUUGCAGCUGAGGUUAUAGAGUCUGACAGAAUAUUUGGUCUAAGAUCAAGCACAGAGCAAGUGGUGGAGGAAGGCUUGAAUCUUACUUUCUCUGACUUAAAAUUUCACUCAUGAAAGUGUAUCAAGGAAGGCACUCCGAGGGGUAAGAUUGUGAGACAUGGCUGAGGAGAAAAGCACCAGUGACUCCAUUGGAAUGAGUAUGAAGGGAGGCCGGACAAACAACGGGUUUGUCCAAAAUGAAGACACCUUGGAGAGGAACUCGGAUCCAGGCAGCCCGGAGCACAGCCCGCAGCACGACACCGUGGACGUCCUCGGCCCCGCGGGGCCCGACCUGAAGGACGUCCGGCCCUACGCCGGGAUGCCCAAGGAGGUGCUGUUCCUGUUCUCGGGCCAGGCGCGCUACCGGGUGCCCCGGGAGGUCCUCUUUUGGCUCACCGUGGCCUCUGUGCUUGUGCUCAUCGGGGCCACCAUAGCCAUCAUUGCCAUCUCUCCAAAUUGUCUCGACUGGUGGCAGGCGGGACCUAUGUACCAGAUCUACCCAAGGUCUUUCAAGGACAGCGACAAGGAUGGGAACGGAGAUCUAAAAGGUAUUCAAGAUAAACUAGACUACAUUGCAACUUUAAAUGUAAAAACUGUUUGGAUUACUUCAUUUUAUAAAUCAUCCCUUAAAGAUUUCCGACAUGCUAUUGAAGACUUCCGAGAAAUCGAUCCCAUUUUUGGAACAAUGGAAGAUUUUGAGAAUCUGGUUGCAGCCAUACAUGAUAAAGGUUUAAAAUUAAUAAUAGAUUUCAUACCAAACCACACCAGUGAUAAACAUGCUUGGUUUCAAUGGAGUCGGACCCGGACAGGGAAAUAUACUGAUUAUUAUAUCUGGCAUGACUGUACCCACGGAAAUGGCACCACCACACCACCCAACAACUGGUUAAGCGUAUAUGGAAACUCCAGUUGGCACUUUGAUGGAGUACGAAACCAAUGCUAUUUUCACCAGUUUACAAAAGAGCAACCUGAUUUAAACUUCCGUAAUCCUGAUGUUCAAGAAGAAAUAAAAGAAAUUAUACAGUUCUGGCUCUCAAAGGGUGUGGAUGGCUUUAGUUUCGAUGCUGUUCAAUUUCUUCUAGAAGCAAAACAUCUGAGAGACGAGGCCCAAGUGAAUAAGACCCAAACUCCGGACAUGGUCACACACUACUCAGAGCUGUACCAUGACUUCACCACCACACAAGUGGGGAUGCACGACCUUAUCCGCAGCUUUCGGCAGACAAUGGACCAGUAUAGCAGGGAGCCUGGGAGAUACAGGUUCCUGGGGACGGAAGCCCAUGGAGAGAGCAUUGCCAAGACCAUGAUGUACUACGGGUUGCCUUUUAUCCAGGAAGCCAACUUUCCCUUGAACAGUUACCUCAGUAAGCUAGACACCCCUUCUGGGAACAGAGUGUUUGAGGUUAUCACAUCCUGGAUGGAAAACAUGCCAGAAGGAAAGUGGCCUAACUGGAUGACUGGUGGACCAGACAAUGCCCGGCUGACUUCUCGUCUGGGAGAGAAAUACGUCAACAUCAUGAACAUGCUCAUUUUCACUCUGCCUGGAACUCCCAUAACUUACUACGGAGAAGAAAUAGGAAUGAGAAAUAUUUUAGCCACAAAUCUCAAUGAAACCUACGAUGCUGAUACGCUUCUCUCAAAGUCACCAAUGCAGUGGGACAACAGCUCAAAUGCUGGUUUUUCUGAAGGUAGUCACACCUGGUUACCCACCAGUUCAGACUACCAUACCGUGAAUGUAGACUGAGACCUUAAUCUAAUCUAAUGGAGUACGAGCCGAGAUGGGGCUGAAAGGUGUUUUGAGUGCUACAAGGAGAAUCAAUCUAAGGCCUUAACUGAAUUCUUGCUUCAGCUCAGGGACUGUCUUCUAGAGUAUCUACUGUAGGAGAACAAAAAUUGCCGCCCCCAAAUUAUUUCAAGCUGAAAACAAUCAAGGCCCAAAAGACUCAGGAAGAAACUCUGACCUUGUCCUGAACUGCCUGCAGAAUUCAGAUAGAGGAACAGAGCCAUCAGCAGACAGUGCAUGUGGGCCAGGUACAGUGGGCGGACAGAGAUCAGGGUCCACUUUGUGUCCCAAGGUCUCUCUGCAUAGACCAGCAAACGUUUGUUUACCAAACACUUGCUUUCCAUCUCCAUGUGAAUUGCCUUCCACCCCGUGAAGUCCCAAAUCAAACCCCAACAUCUUCUUUAGCUGAAGAUGGUGUCUAAGGUGAGAACUCCGGCCAUUUUGGUGAGUUACUCAGUUUUACUGGGGCUUUACCAUGUAUACAUAUUAUUACGCUCUCGUUUGACUUUUCUCCUGUAAAUCUAUCUCAUGUCAACUUAAUUCUUAGACCGGCGAGAAGAACCUAGAAGGGAAGAGGAAAAUUUCUUCCUCCCUGACACUAACCAGGAAGCAGGAGAAUGAUGGAGGAAAUGAGCUGCUAUAAUACAACUUUGUAUCUCAAUUAAAGGACAGAAGUACUACCCCUAAAGACUGUUAAUAAGAAUGGAGGAGCUGAAGAUAGAGAGCUCCUAAACCCAAGACUGAAAUGUUGGUCAGUAAAUGUCCAAGGAUUUCACACAUUCCAGAGUCAGUGUGCUCUGUCUGACUUCCUGGGUCUGGUGUGUCAUAUAUGCUUUGUCUCUUUCCCUCCAACUCUGAAUGUUCUUACAAAUAAAAAAUGAUCAACAGGAAUAGCCA